rnacentral:lncRNA from 1 species
UUUCAGAGUAGAACAUCACUCUCAUGGCGCGUGAUAUGGGUUCACCACCGUUGUUUACUAGGAAAACAAUUUUAGUGCAAGUGUCUGACAUAAACGAUAACGCGCCGCGUUUCAAACAGCCCUCCUACACGGUCUACCUGACCGAAAACAACGCACCAGGAGCCUCGAUUUGCACCAUCACAGCAUAAGACGCAGACUCGGGUCAGAAUUCCUAGUUGUCCUACAGUAUUCUAGAAAACGACAUCCAUGGAAGGCCGUUAUCCACCUACGUGUCCAUCAACUCAGAUAACGGCAACAUUUACGCACUGCGUUCUUUCGACCACGAGCAACUCAGCAACUUUCAGAUCGUGGUUCAAGCCGAAGAUGCUGGUUUUCCGCCUCUCUGCGCGAACGCAACAGUCAACGUGUUUGUUUUGGAACAGAAGGACAACCCUCCAGUCGUUGUAUCCCCGUUGCCCGAGAAUUAAACCGCAGCGGUUGUAGUUGUCCCCAGAUAUGCUAAUGCCGGGUACCUAGUGGCUAAAAUCACCGCCAUGGACGCGGACGCCGGGCAAAACUCUCGUCUCUUUUAUGAAGUCCACCAAGCUACAGAUAGAUGGACAACGACCACAGGAGGCAGAAGCUGGUGGUUUUGGUCAAGGACAAGUUGUUGACAGCGUGCCAGAAUCCUUGUCUGAUUUUGGUGACCUCGCGCAUAGCCCCCAGUACCGGUCAAACCUCACGCUUUAUGUAAUCGUAUCUCUGGGCGCCUUUUCAUUCACGUUUCUUGUGGCUAUUAUUGUCCUGGCUACAAUUAAGGGAUUAAAGGAUAGGAACUCGUGCUGUGGAUUUCAUUCUAAGGACUCCGACAGUGACGUAAUUAAAAAAAAAAUCUAGCUUGAACAUUCACUUAUCACCGUGAUCAAAGGUCACUGCGUGGAAGUAAACGAGAACAACCCAGUAGGUCAAAACUACUGCUAUAAAAUGUAUCUGACUCCAGAGUCAUCUAAAAGUGACUUCUUGUUCCUCAAGCCUUUUAGCCCGACAGGAACAUCUUCCCGAAAUAACAUGAAGGAAAUGGAAAACAAAACUUUGACCCGGAGCCCAGCCAGCCACAGUCUUAAAUGGUACAAGGAUACGACCUUCCCAAAUGAACUUAAACAGGGAAACAAAGACCAAACCCUGACCAAGAACCAGCUCAAUUAUGCCUAUAAAAGUAAUACUCCAAUAAAGACAGACUAUAGGACCUCAUCUAAGGGUGGAGGUUUUCCAAAUCGCUCAUGGACACGUUACAAUCAACAGGAUUCAGUUCAACCCUCACCAGACUAUCAACAACUAUCAAUCAAGAUGACUCAGUAAUAACCAAUGAUUUUUUCAAAUGUUUUUUCCAGUUAUAUUUUUUAUCUGCAUAUUACUUCCUGCAUAUAUGUUGUGUAUAUUUUAGUUGUAUUAUAUGUACUAUAUGAUUUGGCAACAACAGGACUUAAAAGUACUCUGAUAAUUAUUAUUUAUUUAUUUUUAUUUUAUUUUUUUUUUGUCUUUUUUUCUAGUUAAUUGCAGUAUUUCUGAAAGCAAUGCUUUAAUUGUAAUUAUCCAUAUUGAUGAGAAUAUAUGUUAUAUUUUCCUAUUUUGUAUUCCUCUCAUUACCAAAAUGUAUAGAAUUAAUAUAACUCUUUGGUCUUUCUUCUUGUUAAAAUAAUAAAUAAAUAAAUAAAUAAAUAAAACUGUUUCCAUUGCAGUGGUUCUUGCUGUGCCAAAAAUUACAAGAAACAUUAAGAGCACGAUGAUAUAAAACCGUGCAUCUCUUGGCUACAUAUACCAAUGACAAGAAAAAAAGUAGAGAGACUUAAUUAUUUAUUUAUUUUAUUUUUAUUUUUAUUUUUUUUUUGUCUUUUUUUCAGUUAAUUGCAGUUAUUUCUGAAAGCAAUGCUUUAAUUGUAAUUAUCCAUAUUGAUGAGAAUAUAUGUUAUAUUUUUCCUAUUUUUGUAUUCCUCUCAUUACCAAAAAUGUAUAGAAUUAAUAUAACUCUUUGGUCUUUCUUCUUGUUAAAAUAAUAAAUAAAUAAAUAAAUAAAUAAAACUGUUUCCAUUGCAGUGGUUCUUGCUGUGCCAAAAAUUACAAGAAACAUUAAGAGCACGAUGAUAUAAAACCGUGCAUCUCUUGGCUACAUAUACCAAUGACAGAAAAAAAGUAAGAGAGCAAGAAUAUGACUUUAAAGGCAGCUUUUGAAUUUACUUAAUCAUUUAGCUGACGCUUUUAUCCAAAGCGACUUGCAAAUGAGGACAAUAGAAGCAAUCAAACCAACCAAAGAGCAACAAUAUGUAAGUGCUGUGACAAUUCCCGUGUAGUCUAACCCUAACUCUCUAACACUAACUCGCUAUUCUGUUUCUAUUCUACCUUUUUAUUCUUUCUAUUUAUUAUUAAAAACAAAUAAAUAAAUAAAAAUGGUGCUGAACUUCAUUCUUGUUGGAUGACGCGAAUUAUUAUUAUUAUUAUUAUUAUUAUUCAAUUUGUCAAGAAAAAAUAAAUAAAAGUACUUUAAAUAUCAAUACAUUUAAUACAUUUAAUACUUUCAACAUCUGCAGCUGAACCACACAUUACAUAUAGACUUUCAUUAAGAACAUUAAUAAGGAUUUUCGGUAUUUCGCAACAAAGUCAAAAGUAGAGCAGAAAAUACUAAUCUUUUACUAUAACUUUUUUUUUUUGGUCAUAAAUAUAUUUUUAUGCAAACUUUUAUCCUCCCACGAUGUCGCUGCACUACUGAUAUUCACUUUAUGGGAGGAUGCAAGAACAGCCAUGCUUUUUUUCUUUCAUAAUGCGGUUGGACGGAGGCAUAGAGAGCAGCAGCUCUGCUGAAUCUGAUCAGCGGGCGGGAUCCACGGCACGGCGCUAUGGCGAUGCACUGCUGGAUGUUUUCAAGAAACCAAAUACUCGCUCGUUUUGGAACAUACUGCUAUAUUUCUUGUGAAAGACAAUAAAA